GUGGCAUACCUCCAGAAGUCUCUGGUGAAUUAUAGUUCAUAGAUUGUUACUUGGCAUCACUGUCCCGAAUUCUUUACGUAUCACAAAAUAUUAGUGUCUGCAAAGUAGCUUUAUACUUCUCUAUGAAAUCCUGAAUGUGGGCAUCUCACUACGUAUACAAAAUAGUAUAAGACCUCUCAGUAUGUUGAAAAAAGAGGAGACCAAAUAUACAAACGGUUUAAGCACAAAACAGAGAAAU